CUGCUUCCACCUUUACAUGUCUGUGACAGAGUUAAAGACCUGCAGUAAAUCAGAGACAAACACACUGCAGACUGAGCAGAGACAAAUGGCUGCUACAAUGAUCAGACCUCAUCAGGUUAUGAUUGCUUUUCUCAUCCUGACAGUUAACUGGACAGGUACUGAUGGUCAAACAUUGACUGAGUCUGAACCAGUGGUCAAAAGGCCUGGAGAAUCCCACAGACUGACCUGCACAUAUUCUGGACUUGGUACUCCUGACAUAGCUUGGAUCAGACAGGCAGCUGGAAAAGGACUGGAGUGGAUUGCUUGGAUCUGGUCAGACAGUAGUGGCAGUGGCAGCAUCUACUACUCUGACUCAGUGAGAAACCGGUUCACCAUCUCCAGAGACAACAGCAGAAGUCAGGUGUAUCUGCAGAUGAACAGUCUGACAGCUCAGGAUUCUGCUGUUUAUUAUUGUGCUCGAGAGCCACAGUGA